rnacentral:rRNA from 1 species
CAAUAGCGUAUAUUAAAGUUGUUGCAGUUAAAAAGCUCGUAGUUGAAUUUUUGCUUGCCGCCGAUGUCGGAACUUCCGUACGUUCGGCGGCGUGCAUCCUUGGGUGGAACCUGUGUGGCAUUAGGUUGUCGUGCAGGGGAUGCUCAUCGUUUACUGUGAAAAAAUUAGAGUGUUCGAAGCAGGCUUACGCCGUUGAAUAUAUUAGCAUGGAAUAAUAAGAUAGGACCUUGGUACUAUUUUGUUGGUUUGCGCACCGAGGUAAUGAUUAACAGGGACAGUUGGGGGUAUUCGUAUUCCAUUGUCAGAGGUGAAAUUCUUGGAUUUCUGGAAGACGAACUACUGCGAAAGCAUUUACCAAGGAUGUUUUCAUUAA